rnacentral:lncRNA from 1 species
AACUGGGAGAUAUUGGCGCCGUGGCAAGGCUACAAGAUUGUUAUUCCAACAAAGUUUAUCGCAGGAGACAAAGAUAUGGGAAAUGAAGGAGCUAAUGGAACGAUUAAGUAUGUGAAGGGAGAGAUGUUCAAGAGUAUUGUACCUAAUCUUGAGGUUGUUGUUAUUGAGGAUGGUCAUCAUUUUAUCCAGCAGGAGAAGUCUGAACGAGUCUCACAGGAGAUUCUUUCUUUCUUUGACAAGUUGAGAAACAUAACAGAGUAAUGAUCAUGCCAUUCUAUGGCCUUAUAAGAAAAACUAUGGUGCUAGUAUUAAGUACACUAGUGAUGUAUGUCCAAGAAUAAUGCCGAGUGAAAAUAAUGUUUAAUAAAGUAAAAGAUAUAUCUAUUAUUCUCUAUGUGCAAUACUUGUUUGAAGAAACUUGGAAGGUUUACACAUAGGUAAAUUUCAAAUGAAUUAUCUUACUCUUUAUGUUCAUGUGUUUCUUGUUCCAUAAGCUUCUCCACAUUUUCUUUAUUUAGGGUAGAAAGGUUUCUUUUGAAUCAUGACAAUGACAAGCUAGACGCCACAUGUAACCUAAACUGGAAGCUGUUGGAAUAGACUAAAAUCUGAAUCAUGAGACUGAACCAUACUUUGUAAAACAAAAUCUACACAUAUUUAAGUUUUAAGUAGGGGUGGGCAUUUCGACUUAAAUUCCAAUUCGAUUUUUUUUGUUCUUUCUUGGUCUUUGAUUGAAAUUAACCGAAGUUAGUUUGGUUUAUAUUUGGUUCAGUUUAGUUCAAUUUUGUUUAUGACUAUUCAGUUUAGUCGAGUUGGUUUUUUAGUUUUGUUCUAAUUCGGUUACAAAAAUAUAAUUUAUAAUAAUGGCUUAUUUUUGCUCAAAAAAAUAUAAUUUAUAAUAAAUAAAAAAAAUAUUAUCUAAGACUAAAUUACUAAUUUAUUCAUAUUUAAACAUAAAGCCAAACGUAUAAUAAAAACGUAAAAGAUGUUAUCCAAUCAUUUUCUAUUAUUAUCUUGGAACUUAAUAUAAAUAUCACAAGUACUUUUUCCGUUUUGAAGAUAGUUUAUGAAAUCUUAUUCUUUUAUUUUAUUGUUAGUUGUGUGUCUUAUAUUUAUUUAUAAGUAAAAUAUAUAAAAACCAUGUUUAGUUGUUUAGGUUAGAUAGUUAAAUAUAUCUUAAUAGUAUUACUAUAUUUAGUUAGUCUAAUUAUAUAAACUAGGGGUGGGCAAAAAACCCGAACCGAACCGAGAAACCGAUGUGUUUUUGUAAUUAUUUAAAUUAAAAAUAUUAGUAAUAUCAAUAUACUAAAAUUCUAAUACCAAACCACGUAUUUUCCAUUUUUCAUUUAUUAACAUAUAUUCUUCUAACCUAAUAUGUAAUCAUCAAAAUAUUUGAUUUAAGAAAAAUAGAAAACUAUGUAUUUUUAUAUUCUUAUAUAGGUAAACGUGAAUGUUAAAUCUAAACCUAAAAUCUAAAGCAAAUUUUAUUAAAAACAAAAGUUCUUCUCCAUAGCGUCAUAUGGAAGAUGAUUCAUUGCAGAAUUUUUAAUAAUUAUAUAAGCACUACAAGAAAACGUGCCAAUAACAACGAAGAUUUACGACGAAAAUGUUCAGGCCGGUACGAGGAGCAUUAAAAACUAAAGUUAAAAAAAAAUCACGGACGAGGAAAUUUACAUGGUGUUUACAACGCAGUUACGAGGAGACCAACUUUCGUCGUAAACGCCAUGUAAAUUUACGAUGAAAUAUGUUCGUCGUAAAAUCCAUGUAAGUUUACGACGAAAAUACGUGGAAUGAGAAAUACGUCGUAAUCGUUACAUCGACAUUACAACGAAACAUGUUACCGUUAUACUUAGGUGAAAACGUGUAUUCAAUGUGCUUUAACUUACCUAAUUUCGUCGUAAAGUCGUUGUAAAUAUUAUGUUAAAACCAUGUAAAAUCCAUGUAAAACAUUCUUCGUAAAAUCGUUGUUAUAUUUCAACUACCCAACUCGAAAAUUUCUCUAUAUAUAUGUCAUUUCCCACAACUCUCUUCCUCACAACACACAAACGGAAAAAAAAAAUCCGAAAAAAUCAGAAAAAAAAAAGAUUUCAAAAAAAUAUCUAAGAAAAAAAUGGCCGGUGGAGGUAGUAUUUACGAGUUACGGAGUUGGGUGUAUUUGCACAAAGAUUCCGACGGGAGGGUGACGAACGCAUUUCUGAGCGGGCUAGAGACAUUCAUGCACCAGGCGGGCUGUACACCGAUCACGCAGGAAAGCGGUAAGAUGUUCUGCCCCUGUCGGAAAUGCAAGAAUUCAAAAUUUGCACGUAGUGAAACUGUAUGGAAGCAUUUAGUAAACAAUCAACGUUGAACCCUAAAUCGCCGUGGGAGAGCGACGACUCACGACGGAGAAGACAAGGAGAAAAGGAAUUAGGUUUGCGGCAUCCCGCGACUCCUUUUUCCCAUUUAGUGUUUUUUUUUUAAUUUUAAUAGAUUUUACUUUUAACAUUAAAACGAUUUUUUUUAUAAUUUUUAUAGAUUUUAAUUUUAACAUUAAAACGAAAAUUAUUAUAAUUUAUAAUUUAAAUUCAACAUAAUUGGUAAAUUAAGGGUACUUUGGUAUUUUACAAGAUCUAAAAUCUUAUUUUCCUAAAAUAUCUUCUAGAAAUCCUAAUGUGACAAAUCCAAGUUCAAAGUGUCCUAUUUAUCCAAUUUUCCCUUAAAAUUAAGCAUGUAUAUAAGCUGAUUCUUGUAAAAACUUUAUCAUUAAUGUGAAUAUAAAAAACUUUCAGUCUCUCUCAUCUGAUACAAAAUCACUCUCAACGUGCGAAAUUCAAAGAUUUCUCUUAAGUGUUGUAGAAGUUCUAUACUGUUGUUGAACUAAGAAGACGAUUAGUGGGAAAAAUCACCUCAAGAGUGAAGAAUAUCAAAAUCACAAAAUCGCAUUUCCUCUUCUUUGUGUUAAUCCUUAAUAGGUAGCAAUUUUACCAGAGCGAGAGAGAAAGUGGAGGAGCAGAAUCUACAGGUCAGUAUCCGUCAGGAAACGAUGCAGUAUUAAUAUAUUUGACGUUUUUUAAACUCAACAGCGUGCCGUUUUCAUCAUACUAGACCGAACGCUAUGUCGUCGUUUAUUUUCACAGAAGGGAUUACUUUAAACCAAGUAGCCAAACAUGUUCAUUAGCGAUCGUUCCUAAGAAAGGAAAAAGGCAGUGACGAAUCACUGGUCGCCGUUUCUGGCCUCAGCGAAGGAGAAUCUUUUGUGUAGUUAAUGUAAGAUCGGAGCCUAUCAUCGUCGUCUCCUCUGCUUAAAUUGGUACGCUUUGAUCUAUUAGCUGUUGGGACUCGUUGCUAGUCGGAUGUGAAUCUAUAGUCGAUCUUCUUGAUCACUCAUCUGCCAAAUUCUAGGGAUUCAUCGUAUUGUCAUUUAACACUGGCGAAAUUCAUAGAACCACGAUAACGUUUACUUAGCUAAUCUUUGUGAUGUUUAGCAAUAUUUGUUUUUUUUUAAAGCAAUUUGUUGAUAAGAUAAACUUUAGAAUUUCAGAUUUAUACAGAAAUCAAUGAAUUAAUGCAUUUCUCACAAGUUUAUUAUCAAUCUUGUAAACAUUUCUCAGGUUUCGAACUUGUUUUUGCAUUUUUAUGGUACAUUGUUCAGAAACCAAAACAUUGUUUUGCUGUAACUAUAGAGUUCACUUAGUUCAUUGUUUUGUUGUUUAAAGAAGAGAGAAUCGAAUAAGGAAGCGCACUUGGACUUGGAAAAUGGGAGAGACAACAACAGAUUCAGAACAUGGCAUCAUGCUCGGUUUUGAAGAUCCCAUGAGGAUUGAUCCCAGAAGAGAUCGUUUCCCGUGCUGCAUCGUCUGGACACCUCUCCCCUUCAUUACAUGGCUGGUUCCCUUCAUCGGCCACGUUGGUAUCUGCAGAGAAGACGGUGUCAUCCUCGACUUCGCAGGACCUAACUUCGUCUGUGUUGACAAUUUUGCUUUUGGAGCUGUGUCUCGUUACAUCCAGAUCAACAAGGCUAAGGUAACCUUUGCAAAGAUGCUGCCUUUCGUUUUGUUUCCUUUGCUGCAAGUUAACAACUUUGGCUUGGUUUGAUCAGGAAUCAUCUCUUUCGUCCGGCUCAUGUUUGUUCAAUGAGGAAGGAGACACUCAUGAGAAAGAGCCAACGUGGGAUGAUGCACUGAGGAAAGGCACGCAAGAGUACCAACACUAUUCGUAUAACAUAUUGACGUGCAACUGUCAUUCCUUUGUAGCCAACAACCUGAACCGUCUUGCGAUACGAUCAGGUGGAUGGAACGUGGUGAAUCUCGCGGUGCUAGUGUUCCUCAAGGGACGUUGGGUUAGCAAAACGGCGAUGGUCAAGUCUUUACUGCCUACAGUUAUAAUCUACGCUAUUGGAAUGUUAUUAGGGGGUUGGACAUUCAUAGCUUCCUGCUGUGUUCUAGCCUGUUUACUUACGGGUUGGUUCAUCAUGGGAACCUAUUGUUUCAAGAAAUUGAUCCAGUUGUAGAUUUGAUUUUUGAUCCAACGAUUUGUUUAUGAAGGUUAUUUAACCAAGACUGUUGAAAUAUAAAACAGUACAUCAUUUUGCUUGUUUUGACUGUGGAGAUGGCAAGGUCUUCGUCUUUGUGUGUAGUCUUAUUCCUUGGUUUGCUUUUCAUACUCUCGAUCUGUCUUAUCGUCGAUUAUUUCCGAUUUGAAGACACGCCCAUGUACUAAUUAACGCCCAUAAGAAUUGAAAUCAUUCUUCUUUCUUGAAUCUGAAUUUAUAGAUUAGUAUGUGUGUUUACAAGUUACUGUUGUUUCGUCAUUGCUAUGACGAGCAAUGAAAGAUUGAAAACGGACCAGCCGUGUAGUUGUGUGACGAUUAGACGACAACAUGUUUGUCAUCUUUAUGGACUAGUGAAGAAACUAUAUGGCGUUGUAUGAAUUGCAACUUUUUUGCUUUGGUAAAAUGUUAAGAUAAUUGCAAGUUUGUUGACCAAAAAAAGAAAGAAUUGCAAGUUUGUUUCUUUUUUGUAUAAUAUAUCUAUAAUGUAUAUUCAAUACCUUUUUAUCAACUAUUAUAUUUAUAUAAAUUGAAAAAGACAUACAAAAUACAUAGAAUUAUAAAACAGAAAACAAAACUAAAAUAAUAAAAAGACAAUUAAACAAGAGCAGAUUAACGCUCUAAAUUUUAGAACUUCUUUUUUGUUGUAUAACAUUGGCCAAAUCCCAAGUCCGCUUCAUUUCUUUGUUUAUUGUAUGGACUAGAAAGGUAAAUAAAAGCUUCCGUCCUUAGAAACAUUCUUCAUGCAAAACUCAACUGAAAUUAAAAAAAAAAAAAAACUUAACUAAAAUUUGAAUUUUCCAAAAUCCUGAAACAUUUUACUGUGCUUACACUUUCUGGCUCAUGAACUCUAAAGAGUUGACACAUAAUUGUAGAGUACUUGGACCAUUGGCAUCAUCACACUUCACAACAGAGGUGCGUACGAGGGAAACCAUCCGUUGAAAUCACUGUUCUAAAAUACGCACAAUGCGGUCGUCUAAGCGACAUAUAUACGCUGUACGGGUGCAUGAGGUACCGAAUUUGGUGGUUCAGUUUAUUUAUACGGCAUAGUCUAUUUUUGAUAUUGUGAUUAGUAUUAAUGAAGAAAAUGAUUAUAAUGGACAUGUCAAAUAUUCAAAUUACUCUAAAAGUAUGCGUGGAUUCAUUAUAUGAACUUAUGGGCUUGCACGAUUUUCAUUUUGUUGAAGUAGUUGUAUUUUAUUGUUCAGUUUUUUUGUUCAACAUAUUUAAACGUAUAAUGUAACUCUUUGUUUCACAUCUGUUUUUUUUACAAAAAUAAAGUCAUCUUAGUAUAUGUUCAGAAUACUACUAUUUAUCGUAGAUAAGAAAAUAAUAAGAACGGUAUAAAUUUAUGAUAAAAAUAUGGAUAUGCCAAUUUACUUACUAAAUAUUCUAUUUUUUCUUUGAAACAUUUACCGUAUAUGCCCCGCAUAAACGUCGGCAUAUACAGCUAAACAGUAUACGGUAGUUCACCGUCCGACUAGCUUCUGCCGUGUAACCUAACCAGAGGCUUGGUCCGUCUCUUUUUACUCCACGUGUACAUCCAUUAAUUUCCGUGCCUCUCUCAAAAUCUCAACUCUGGUAAUAAAAGUCUCACUUGGUCGCUGAUUUUUCCUCUCUCUCUCAUCAGAUCAAGAAUCAUCAGAUCAAGAAUGACAAGCGAGGUGAGAGAGAAGAAGAUCAAGACCAAUGGGAUUUGGUUAAACGUGACUGAGAAAGGAGAUGAGGGAGAACCUUUAGUUCUGUUACUCCAUGGCUUCCCUGAGACAUGGUUCUCGUGGCGUCACCAGAUCGAUUUCCUGUCAAGCCAUGGUUACCACGUAGUUGCUCCAGAUCUCCGAGGCUACGCUGACUCCGAUUCUCCUCCGACCCAUGAGUCUUACACUGUGAGCCACCUCGUCGCUGAUGUCAUCGGUUUGCUCGAUCACUACGGCACUGCUCAGGUGAAACUGAUCUCUCAUCUUAUCAAAGAUUCCAACGGUUAGAUUUAGAUCAGUAUAUGAAAAUAUUUUACUUUUCUCAAUGUUAUAGGCUUUUGUGGCUGGACAUGACUGGGGAGCCAUCAUAGGUUGGUCUUUGUGCUUGUUUAGACCAGACAGAGUCAAAGGUUUCGUAAGUCUCUCUGUUCCAUAUUCUCCAAGAGAUCCAAAUCUCAAACCUUCGGAUUUAUUCAAAAGCUUUGGAGAUGGGUUAUACAUCACUCAGUUUCAGGUAAUUAAAAAAAAGUAUUUUCAAGAUUUGUGGUGUUUCUAUUGUCAUCGUCUGAUUCAGUUCCUUGGUUCUGUCUUUACAAGGAACCUGGAAGAGCUGAGGCUGCAUUUGCCAAGCAUGAUUGCUUGACAGUUAUGAAAAAGUUCUUGCUAACAACAAGAACAGAUUUCUGGGUGGCUCCUCCUAAUACAGAGAUCAUCGAUGAUCUUGAAGUUCCAUCGACGCUUCCAGAUUGGAUAACUGAAGAAGAGAUUCAGGUUUAUGCAGACAAGUUUCAAAAGUCUGGGUUCACAGGCCCACUGAAUUACUACAGAGCCAUGGAUCUGUAAGUCUUACUUCCAUUGAUUCAGUCGAAUCCUUUGCUGUUACUUUAAAACAAAGUAUUGAAAGUGUGAGGAAAUUACAGGAACUGGGAGAUAUUGGCGCCGUGGCAAGGCUACAAGAUUGUUAUUCCAACAAAGUUUAUCGCAGGAGACAAAGAUAUGGGAAAUGAAGGAGCUAAUGGAACGAUUAAGUAUGUGAAGGGAGAGAUGUUCAAGAGUAUUGUACCUAAUCUUGAGGUUGUUGUUAUUGAGGAUGGUCAUCAUUUUAUCCAGCAGGAGAAGUCUGAACGAGUCUCACAGGAGAUUCUUUCUUUCUUUGACAAGUUGAGAAACAUAACAGAGUAAUGAUCAUGCCAUUCUAUGGCCUUAUAAGA